UGGGGAAUAUUGCACAGUGGGCGCAAGCCUGAUGCAGCCAUGCCGCGUGUGUGAAGAAGGCCUUCGGUUGUAAAGCACUUUCAGCGAGGAGGAAGGUGGUGAACUUAAUACGUUCAUCAAUUGACGUUACUCGCAGAAGAAGCACCGGCUAACUCCGUGCCAGCAGCCGCGGUAAUACGGAGGGUGCAAGCGUUAAUCGGAAUUACUGGGCGUAAAGCGCACGCAGGCGGUUUGUUAAGUCAGAUGUGAAAUCCCCGGGCCUCAACCUGGGAACUGCAUUUGAACUGGCAAGCUAGAGUCUGCGUAGAGGGGGGUAGAAUUCCAGGUGGUAGCGGUGAAAUGCGUAGAGAUCUGGAGGAAUACCGGUGGCGAAGGCGGCCCCCAUGGACGAAGACU
rnacentral:rRNA from 1 species